rnacentral:rRNA from 1 species
GGGUUGUGAGGUUAAGCGACUAAGCGUACACGGUGGAUGCCCUGGCAGUCAGAGGCGAUGAAGGACGUGCUAAUCUGCGAUAAGCGUCGGUAAGGUGAUAUGAACCGUUAUAACCGGCGAUUUCCGAAUGGGGAAACCCAGUGUGUUUCGACACACUAUCAUUAACUGAAUCCAUAGGUUAAUGAGGCGAACCGGGGGAACUGAAACAUCUAAGUACCCCGAGGAAAAGAAAUCAACCGAGAUUCCCCCAGUAGCGGCGAGCGAACGGGGAGCAGCCCAGAGCCUGAAUCAGUGUGUGUGUUAGUGGAAGCGUCUGGAAAGGCGCGCGAUACAGGGUGACAGCCCCGUACACAAAAAUGCACAUGCUGUGAGCUCGAUGAGUAGGGCGGGACACGUGGUAUCCUGUCUGAAUAUGGGGGGACCAUCCUCCAAGGCUAAAUACUCCUGACUGACCGAUAGUGAACCAGUACCGUGAGGGAAAGGCGAAAAGAACCCCGGCGAGGGGAGUGAAAAAGAACCUGAAACCGUGUACGUACAAGCAGUGGGAGCACGCUUAGGCGUGUGACUGCGUACCUUUUGUAUAAUGGGUCAGCGACUUAUAUUCUGUAGCAAGGUUAACCGAAUAGGGGAGCCGAAGGGAAACCGAGUCUUAACUGGGCGUUAAGUUGCAGGGUAUAGACCCGAAACCCGGUGAUCUAGCCAUGGGCAGGUUGAAGGUUGGGUAACACUAACUGGAGGACCGAACCGACUAAUGUUGAAAAAUUAGCGGAUGACUUGUGGCUGGGGGUGAAAGGCCAAUCAAACCGGGAGAUAGCUGGUUCUCCCCGAAAGCUAUUUAGGUAGCGCCUCGUGAAUUCAUCUCCGGGGGUAGAGCACUGUUUCGGCAAGGGGGUCAUCCCGACUUACCAACCCGAUGCAAACUGCGAAUACCGGAGAAUGUUAUCACGGGAGACACACGGCGGGUGCUAACGUCCGUCGUGAAGAGGGAAACAACCCAGACCGCCAGCUAAGGUCCCAAAGUCAUGGUUAAGUGGGAAACGAUGUGGGAAGGCCCAGACAGCCAGGAUGUUGGCUUAGAAGCAGCCAUCAUUUAAAGAAAGCGUAAUAGCUCACUGGUCGAGUCGGCCUGCGCGGAAGAUGUAACGGGGCUAAACCAUGCACCGAAGCUGCGGCAGCGACACUAUGUGUUGUUGGGUAGGGGAGCGUUCUGUAAGCCUGUGAAGGUGUACUGUGAGGUAUGCUGGAGGUAUCAGAAGUGCGAAUGCUGACAUAAGUAACGAUAAAGCGGGUGAAAAGCCCGCUCGCCGGAAGACCAAGGGUUCCUGUCCAACGUUAAUCGGGGCAGGGUGAGUCGACCCCUAAGGCGAGGCCGAAAGGCGUAGUCGAUGGGAAACAGGUUAAUAUUCCUGUACUUGGUGUUACUGCGAAGGGGGGACGGAGAAGGCUAUGUUGGCCGGGCGACGGUUGUCCCGGUUUAAGCGUGUAGGCUGGUUUUCCAGGCAAAUCCGGAAAAUCAAGGCUGAGGCGUGAUGACGAGGCACUACGGUGCUGAAGCAACAAAUGCCCUGCUUCCAGGAAAAGCCUCUAAGCAUCAGGUAACAUCAAAUCGUACCCCAAACCGACACAGGUGGUCAGGUAGAGAAUACCAAGGCGCUUGAGAGAACUCGGGUGAAGGAACUAGGCAAAAUGGUGCCGUAACUUCGGGAGAAGGCACGCUGAUAUGUAGGUGAAGUCCCUUGCGGAUGGAGCUGAAAUCAGUCGAAGAUACCAGCUGGCUGCAACUGUUUAUUAAAAACACAGCACUGUGCAAACACGAAAGUGGACGUAUACGGUGUGACGCCUGCCCGGUGCCGGAAGGUUAAUUGAUGGGGUUAGCGCAAGCGAAGCUCUUGAUCGAAGCCCCGGUAAACGGCGGCCGUAACUAUAACGGUCCUAAGGUAGCGAAAUUCCUUGUCGGGUAAGUUCCGACCUGCACGAAUGGCGUAAUGAUGGCCAGGCUGUCUCCACCCGAGACUCAGUGAAAUUGAACUCGCUGUGAAGAUGCAGUGUACCCGCGGCAAGACGGAAAGACCCCGUGAACCUUUACUAUAGCUUGACACUGAACAUUGAGCCUUGAUGUGUAGGAUAGGUGGGAGGCUUUGAAGUGUGGACGCCAGUCUGCAUGGAGCCGACCUUGAAAUACCACCCUUUAAUGUUUGAUGUUCUAACGUGGACCCGUAAUCCGGGUUGCGGACAGUGUCUGGUGGGUAGUUUGACUGGGGCGGUCUCCUCCUAAAGAGUAACGGAGGAGCACGAAGGUUGGCUAAUCCUGGUCGGACAUCAGGAGGUUAGUGCAAUGGCAUAAGCCAGCUUGACUGCGAGCGUGACGGCGCGAGCAGGUGCGAAAGCAGGUCAUAGUGAUCCGGUGGUUCUGAAUGGAAGGGCCAUCGCUCAACGGAUAAAAGGUACUCCGGGGAUAACAGGCUGAUACCGCCCAAGAGUUCAUAUCGACGGCGGUGUUUGGCACCUCGAUGUCGGCUCAUCACAUCCUGGGGCUGAAGUAGGUCCCAAGGGUAUGGCUGUUCGCCAUUUAAAGUGGUACGCGAGCUGGGUUUAGAACGUCGUGAGACAGUUCGGUCCCUAUCUGCCGUGGGCGCUGGAGAACUGAGGGGGGCUGCUCCUAGUACGAGAGGACCGGAGUGGACGCAUCACUGGUGUUCGGGUUGUCAUGCCAAUGGCACUGCCCGGUAGCUAAAUGCGGAAGAGAUAAGUGCUGAAAGCAUCUAAGCACGAAACUUGCCCCGAGAUGAGUUCUCCCUGACUCCUUGAGAGUCCUGAAGGAACGUUGAAGACGACGACGUUGAUAGGCCGGGUGUGUAAGCGCAGCGAUGCGUUGAGCUAACCGGUACUAAUGAACCGUGAGGCUUAACCUUACAACGCCGAAGGUGUUU